CUGAACUUUCUUUAAGGUCACAAUCUUCCUAUCAUCCCUUUUUCACGCUCUAUACACAUUGCUAUCAUAUUAGGACUUAUAAAUAUACUUUUUGCUUUGAUUGUGGUCUAAGAUAUUAGUUUAAACUUACAUUUAAAUUUUAGUUUUGUUUCCUUUUCAUUUGGUCUUCUUACCUCUUUAUUUUUGUGACUCUUCUUAUCAGAAUAUCACUGCCCAUGAAACUAUGUUUAAUAUGGCAUAUGUGUGAUACUACUUGAAGCUUGAGUUUGUUUUGCCCCACUUUUGUGUGUGAUAAAAGAUCUCUUUAGACAUGAAUUGGAUUUUGUUAGGUUUUUAGGUAAAACUAUUUGAGCCACAGCGCCAACAAGUGUGUGGUGAAUUUCUUGAAAGAAAUUUCUUUUCGAUCAAACUUCUAGAGUCUUCUUUCAAAGCUUGAAGUUCGUUAGAUCGUGAUUUUAUGGCUAUACAGUUUGUGGAUUCAAGAGUAGUAUAUUCUGUUUGACAGAGAACUUUCGAUCCUUAUGGUCCCUCCAUGUCUAGGGAUUAAGACUGAUCCAAUAAAACUUUUUUCUUUUCUUAUUGUCCUCUUAACACCAGUGAUCAAUUUAAUUCGGAAUAUAACUUCAGUUUGCUAUUAAUUAUUUCCUUGGAGGUAUGAGUGGCUGGCAGGGCCUAGAUGUGCUUCAUGAGAUUGAUAAACAAGAGCAUAAGAUACAUCCUUUCGAUUAAUCCUACUUCUUCAGAGGAUAGCACAACCAGUAAUAUGCUGAAAUUGAACCUGCUCUGUGUAUGUCCCACACUUAGACAAGCACAUCAUCACAACUUGUGCAAGUUAGCAGUCAAUUACUUCAUUGACCUACCACACUAAGAGCUUAAGAGCACAAUCACUUGUUCCAACAUAUUCAAUUGCUAGACACUUAAUUGCUAUUGAAAGGCUUUAGGAAUGAUGAAAUAUGCGGAUCAUCGUGUCUUCCCUAUUGUUACAUUUGUUGACACUCCAGGGUCUUUUGCUGAUUUAAGAUCUGAAGAGCUAAGUUAGGGUGAGCCAAUAGGCCAAACUUUAAGGGCAAUGUUUGGGCUGAGAGUUCCAAUCAUAACAGUUGUAACUAAUGAAGGUGGUUCAGGCAAAUCUCUUGCCAUUGAAUGUGUAAACAAGUGGUUAAUGUUGGAAAACUCCACAACAUUUUAUGUUGCCAGGUGUGCUAGAACCAAUAUAAACUCAAGAGAGAGCGGUGAUGAACCAUUUGAAGGCAUUGAAGAUUGAUUUCAGUGGUAACCGACUAACCGUGCUCUCUCAAGUCUAGAUGCAGAAGGUUGCAGUUAGGAGUGUACAUGACCGGGUUGGUUCAGAUUUUUCAAAUAUCAAAUCAAACCAUUUGUGUAAAAAUUUUAA